AUUGAACGCUGGCGGCAUGCCUUACACAUGCAAGUCGAACGGCAGCAUGGAGAGCUUGCUCUCUGAUGGCGAGUGGCGAACGGGUGAGUAAAGCAUCGGAACGUACCGUGUAGUGGGGGAUAACGUAGCGAAAGUUACGCUAACACCGCAUACGCACUGAGGUGGAAAGCAGGGGAUCGUAAGACCUUGCGCUAUACGAGCGGCCGAUGUCAGAUUAGCUAGUUGGUAGGGUAAAGGCCUACCAAGGCGACGAUCUGUAGCGGGUCUGAGAGGAUGAUCCGCCACACUGGGACUGAGACACGGCCCAGACUCCUACGGGAGACAGCAGUGGGGAAUUUUGGACAAUGGGGGCAACCCUGAUCCAGCCAUGCCGCGUGAGUGAAGAAGGCCUUCGGGUUGUAAAGCUCUUUCGGCCGGGAAGAAAUCGCACAGGCUAAUACCCUGUGUGGAUGACGGUACCGGCAUAAGAAGCACCGGCUAACUACGUGCCAGCAGCCGCCGUAA
rnacentral:rRNA from 1 species